rnacentral:lncRNA from 1 species
CUUGCUGGUACCUAAGUAUUAAGGAAGCAGCCUCUUCAAUGCAGGUUUGGUCCCCUUUUUAGGUUAAAGAAGGCUUUUCAGACAGGGCUGCUACAAACCAGUAGAGCUAGAACCCCAGCAGAUGUGACAGAUAUCUCCAAAGGUUGCCACCUGUCAUUUUGGGAGCCUGGAAUGCAAAAUCUGUUUAAAGUUUAGGUCACAAAAAUUUACUGCUUACAUAGGAUAUGUCUAUCAUGUUUGGGCACUAGGGAAAUGGUCUAAAGAUAUAGUCUAAAGACAGAAAUCCUGUGUGUGCAGCCAAAGUAGGUGGAGCUUUGGGACUCUUAUGGAAGGGUUGGGGGAAAGAUUGUGGACCCUGAAGGAAAUAGGAAGACCAACAGUCAACUAACCCUAGGGAUCUCAGAGACUGAACCACCAACCAGAACGCAAACAUGACUGAACAAACAUGGGGGAGGCUCUUAGCCAAAGCUGGUGGAGAAGAAAAGAGGACGUGGCUCAACUCCCCAUCUCAUAUUUCUCGUACUUAUAGGAAAGCAGUGUUCCACCUUGCCCUGUUGUAUCUCAAACUCCUCUGUUCAUUUCAGUCACUUUUUUCCCUUUACAAACAGGCCCACAAGAACACAAAUCCCCAAGAAACACAGGACUUGGCUUGCCUCUUAGAGCUUGCUGGGUUCUCUCCCAACUGUGGAAUCUUUCCUCUACACCUUGGCUUAUCCAAUGGGACUCAGGUUUUGUUUCUUUUUAAGUUUCUGAUGAACAAAAGGAUGUAGUUUCUAGUAGUAGUUGGUAGCGGAAGGGGUGGGGAGAUGGCUUUUGUUGAAAAGGAAUGUGGAUCCUUUUCUUGGAAUAAUUGUUGGAUAGACCUUCUCUCUUGAACUGGUCAGAUGAGGAGACAAUGUAAUGUCAUAUCUCCUAUCAGGACAGCCAUGGUCCCACUUGGGACUAGAUACUUCAAAGUAUUAUGGACAGUUCACUCACCAGAAUGAGAAGGAUAUGGACGUGUCAGUUGUCAGAAUUCCAUGACCAUGUAGUUUAGUUCGAGGCUUCACAUUAGUGUUGGAAAGGUAUGUUUUAAGUUUCAUAUGUGCGUUAAAUCACCUACUCUCAUGUGGACCAGAGGAGUGAAUGCUUUAAUCCGUUUAUCUACUGGAACAGGGACGUUUGAGUUGGAGCGUUUCUAGAGAACAUAGCAAAUAAGCCCAGGAUGUAGGAGCUACAGGAUGGCCUGGCUUCUGGUGGCGAUUCUGUCACAAGCAGAAAUGUGUUUCCUCCAGAGACCACUCUUCUGUGAUAGGGACAUUUUCUUCAUGCUGGAAAACUGAGCUUAAAACAGUUUCCUGGUUAAAGUAGGAGACUGUAAAAGAGCUCUUCAGGGUAUAAGACAAAUCUACUGGCAUCUUGUUAAAAGAUGAUUGAGUGGCACCAGCAGCAUGAACCUAGGGCCCCUCUGCAUCCUGGACUUUCUGUGAUGCGUACACCCCUGGCUUAUGGCACCUGCCCAUCUCCCUGCUCAGCCCAGGCACUUUGUAGACAGGCACCCAAGCAAGCUCUCACGCUGGCUCUCAGCCUUUGUGACAAUGUGUCUUCAGUCAUCAGGCCCUCUCUAGGAGAGUCCGUGUCACAGACUCUUAUAAAGGGAGGAUGGCUGGACUGAUGUGGACUGAUGGACUUGGGGUGAGGGAGAGGGAUGACGGGGAGAACAGCCAGAGGAUAUUAUUUCAACCAGAACCUCACUGCUGACCAGAGUUUGGAACCUUGAGAAGAUGGCGAAAGCCUGUACGUGUUGGUGUCCAACAUGUUACAUGAAGGGUUUCCCACAGAGACACAAAGCAAAGAAAACACCUAAGAGAAGGAACAAAAGGUACGAUGAUGCUUUCUGAUUACAAAGGGGACUCUCAAAACAGAGUAAUUACCAUCUUAGCCUUGGCUAAUUUUCUAAAAUAGGACACUUUUAUCUAAAGUAGGCAUGUCCAAACUCUGCAUGAUAGCUCUGAAUGUGCCCAAACACAUUUGUUGACAAAUGCAUCAGAAUGUCAAAAGGUUAGACAUCCUCACAAGCUUAGAGCAUAAAGUAUAACUCAUCAUCACGGCUUCCAAAAGUCCACCUUAGCUGAUUUUUCUAUGUGCUUCUCUACUUCCCCAAACUACACAGAGAACCAGAUGUCUGUGUUCACUGUCGUUGUGCUGUAAAGUCUCUCUCUGCUCUUGUCCACUCAGUAGGAGACACUGUCACUGGCCUUACCUCUGAAGGGAGGCACACAUGCUUUGGCUGAAGAAGCUUCUAGACACCAUGAAGUACCAAGUCACAUUUGUUCCCAUUGUUGACUCAAAGAACGAUGGGUCCCGAUGCAAGCCUAAGGCCACCGUAAUCAUCGUCGAGCUUGCUUCUCCACCCCAGGGUCUCUAAAUAAAACCUCUUCUUUCUCGGAAAAAAAAUGUUUCU